rnacentral:misc_RNA from 1 species
UACUGUAGCCCGCUCAUCAACGUAU